UACGUAGGGUGCGAGCGUUAAUCGGAAUUACUGGGCGUAAAGCGUGCGCAGGCGGUUCGUUGUGUCGGCGGGGAAAGCCCCGGGCUCAACCUGGGAAUGGCCGUUGAAACUGGCGAACUGGAGUGUGGCAGAGGGGGGUGGAAUUCCGCGUGUAGCAGUGAAAUGCGCAGAUAUCAGGAGGAACACCGGUGGCGAAGGCGGGUCUCUGGGCCGAUACUGACGCUGAGGAGCGAAAGCGUGGGGAGCGAACAGG
rnacentral:rRNA from 1 species